GGAGAGGCUCCCCAUCUUGAUGCUCAGACAGGAGCCUGUGGUGAAACAGAAGUACAAGUCUGAUAUUUUCAUUGUUUGGAAAUGAUGAAACAAGUCAGGAUCUCAAGGCCACGAUGCUCUCCGCUCUCGGUAGCGGCAAAGACAUCCAAAGAGCAGCCAAACAGACAACGUGAUGUCAUGCCAAGAUAUAGACUUUAUUCCAAAGCCACAAAAUGGACCCAGGAAGGGAUGCAUCACACUCAUUUUCCUGUUAAAAUCCAGCAAACCUUUGAAAAUGCUGCACAUCGAGUGUGUAGGUCCCUUGUUCCACGCUGCCACUCUUCCCUUGGCAAAGGUUUUAUCUCACAGACACAAGCAGCCGACCAUUCAGCACCGG